rnacentral:rRNA from 1 species
GGNUUGGAAUUCACACCGCCCGUCGUUAUCUAAGAUGGAAGUGCGGAUGAAGGCGAUUAGGUCGCAAGAAUCCGUGCCGCUAGAUUGGAUACAAGUCGUAACAAGGUAGCAGUAGGUGAACCUGCCGCUGGAUCAAUAC